AUGCUAGCUCACGGCAUUAUAGUGCCCAGCACCAGCCCGUUCGUGUCACCGGUUUUACUAGUACAAAAGAAGGAUCUUACUUGGCGCUUUUGCGUGGACUACCGGCACCUCAAUGCUGUGACGAUGAAGAAUCGAUUUCCGCUACCCGUCAUCGACGAACUGCUGGAUGAAUUGGCGGGUGCCAAUCUCUUCACUAGCCUGGACCUGUGA
rnacentral:rRNA from 1 species